UACGUAGGGAGCGAGCGUUGUCCGGAUUCAUUGGGCGUAAAGAGCUCGUAGGCGGCUUGAUUAGUCGGAUGUGAAACCUCCAGGCUCAACCUGGAGUCGCCAUCCGAUACUGUCAUGGCUAGAGUCCGGUAGGGGCCCACGGAAUUCCUGGUGUAGCGGUGAAAUGCGCAGAUAUCAGGAGGAACACCGGUGGCGAAGGCGGGUCUCUGGGCAAUAACUGACGCUGAGGAGCGAAAGCGUGGGGAGCGAACAGG
rnacentral:rRNA from 1 species